UAGGGAAUAUUGGACAAUGGGGGCAACCCUGAUCCAGCCAUGCCGCGUGAGUGAAGAAGGCCCCCGGGUUGUAAAGCUCUUUUGUCCGGAAAGAAAAGCAUUCGGUGAAUACCCGGAUGUUCUGACGGUACCGGAAGAAUAAGCACCGGCUAACUUCGUGCCAGCAGCCGCGGUAAUACGAAGGGUGCAAGCGUUACUCGGAAUUACUGGGCGUAAAGCGUGCGUAGGUGGUUGUUUAAGUCUGAUGUGAAAGCCCUGGGCUCAACCUGGGAAUGGCAUUGGAAACUGUGCAGCUAGAGUGCGGUAGAGGGUAGUGGAAUUCCCGGUGUAGCAGUGAAAUGCGUAGAGAUCGAGAGGAACAUCUGUGGCGAAGGCAACUGCCUGGACCAGCACUGACACUGAGGCACGAAAGCGUGGGGAGCAAACA
rnacentral:rRNA from 1 species